rnacentral:rRNA from 1 species
GAUGAACGCUGGCGGCGUGCCUAAUACAUGCAAGUCGAGCGAACGGACGAGAAGCUUGCUUCUCUGAUGUUAGCGGCGGACGGGUGAGUAACACGUGGAUAACCUACCUAUAAGACUGGGAUAACUUCGGGAAACCGGCGCUAAUACCGUAUAAUAUUUUGAACCGCAUUGUUCAAAAGUGAAAUACGGUCUUGCUGUCACUUAUAGAUGGAUCCGCGCUGCAUUAGCUAGUUGGUAAGGUAACGGCUUACCAAGGCAACGAUGCAUAGCCGACCUGAGAGGGUGAUAGGCCACACUGGAACUGAGACACGGUCCAGACUACUACGGGAGGCAGCAGUAGGGAAUCUUCCGCAAUGGGCGAAAGCAUGACGGAGCAACGCCGAGUGAGUGAUGAAGGUCUUCGGAUCGUAAAACUCUGUUAUUAGGGAAGAACAUAUGUGUAAGUAACUGUGCACAUCUUGACGGUAACUAAUCAGAAAGCCACGGCUAACUACGUG